UAAAACCAGCACCUCAAGUGGUCAGGAUGAUUAUUGGGCCUAAAGCAUCCGUAGCCUGCUCUGUUAGUUUUCGGUUAAAUCCAUGUGCUCAACACAUGGGCUGCCGAAAAUACUGCAGGGCUAGGGAGUGGGAGAGGUAGACGGUACUCAGUAGGAAGGGGUAGAAUCCUUUGAUCUAUUGAUGACCACCUGUGGCGAAGGCGGUCUACCAGAACACGUUCGACGGUGAGGGAUGAAAGCUGGGGGAGCAAACCGGAUUAGAUACCCGGGUAGUCCCAGCUGUAAACGAUGCAGACUCGAUGAUGCAUUGGCUUAUUGCCAAUGCAGUGUCGCAGGGAAGCCGUUAAGUCUGCCGCCUGGGAAGUACGUACGCAAGUAUG
rnacentral:rRNA from 1 species